CAUUUUAAAAUUGUGAAGAAAGUUAAAAAGUAUAACAGAAGACUAUCCGAGUUCAUCAUGUCAAAAUCAAUUUCAAAGGGCACAUAUAAUAUAUAAUAAUUAAUAAAACUAACUGAAAUUUUCAAAUAAAGCACACAUUUGACUUUAAAUGCUUUAUUGCAUUGGUUUUAAUUUUAGUAUCUCUGGUGUUUGGCUUCUUUCCACUCAACGAUCAAAUCCCCAUUGGUCCAACAUGCCAGCACGUAUUCUUAGCUUUCAAAAACAACUAGUUAUUAGCUACUUGCUAUUUUUAAAUCGAGUUUCAAUAUAAAUAUUAAAUAUGAGUAAAAUAUUC
rnacentral:lncRNA from 1 species